rnacentral:rRNA from 1 species
AACAGGAUUAGAUACCCUGGUAGUCCAUGCCGUAAACGAUGUCUACUAGCCGUUGGGGCCUUUGAGGCUUUAGUGGCGCAGCUAACGCGAUAAGUAGACCGCCUGGGGAGUACGGUCGCAAGACUAAAACUCAAAUGAAUUGACGGGGGCCCGCACAAGCGGUGGAGCAUGUGGUUUAAUUCGAUGCAACGCGAAGAACCUUACCUGGCCUUGACAUACUAAGAACUUUCCAGAGAUGGAUUGGUGCCUUCGGGAACUUAGAUACAGGUGCUGCAUGGCUGUCGUCAGCUCGUGUCGUGAGAUGUUGGGUUAAGUCCCGCAACGAGCGCAACCCUUUUCCUUAUUUGCCAGCGGGUUAAGCCGGGAACUUUAAGGAUACUGCCAGUGACAAACUGGAGGAAGGCGGGGACGACGUCAAGUCAUCAUGGCCCUUACGGCCAGGGCUACACACGUGCUACAAUGGUCGGUACAAAGGGUUGCUACCUCGCGAGAGGAUGCUAAUCUCAAAAAGCCGAUCGUAGUCCGGAUCGCAGUCUGCAACUCGACUGCGUGAAGUCGGAAUCGCUAGUAAUCGCGGAUCAGAAUGCCGCGGUGAAUACGUUCCCGGGCCUUGUACACACCGCCCGUCACACCAUGGGAGUUUGUUGCACCAGAAGUAGGUAGUCUAACCGCAAGGAGGACGCUUACCACGGUGUGGCCGAUGACUGGGGUGAAGUCGUAACAAGGUAACC